rnacentral:rRNA from 1 species
UACGGAGGGGGCUAGCGUUGUUCGGAAUUACUGGGCGUAAAGCGCACGUAGGCGGCUUUGCAAGUUAGAGGUGAAAGCCCAGGGCUUAACCCUGGAAUUGCCUUUAAAACUGCAUCGCUAGAAUCGUGGAGAGGUGAGUGGAAUUCCGAGUGUAGAGGUGAAAUUCGUAGAUAUUCGGAAGAACACCAGUGGCGAAGGCGACUCACUGGACACGUAUUGACGCUGAGGUGCGAAAGCGUGGGGAGCAAACAGG